rnacentral:tRNA from 1 species
GUGUAGCUCAGUGGUAGAGCUCUUGCCUAGCAUGUGCAAGGCUCUGGGUUUGAUUCCCAGUAC